UACGUAGGCAGCGAGCGUUGUUCGGAGUUACUGGGCGUAAAGGGUGUGUAGGCGGUUCUUUAAGUUUGGUGUGAAAUCUCCCGGCUCAACUGGGAGGGUGCGCCGAAUACUGAGGGACUAGAGUGCGGGAGAGGAAAGUGGAAUUCCUGGUGUAGCGGUGAAAUGCGCAGAUAUCAGGAAGAACACCCGUGGCGAAGGCGGCUCUCUGGAACGCAACUGACGCUGAGACGCGAAAGCGUGGGGAGCAAACAGG
rnacentral:rRNA from 1 species